AACAUAGAAUACUCCCAAGCAACAUUCAGCUUUGAUUUUCCAUCUAUGCUGGAAAAUGCUAGUCAUCUCAAAUAUACCACGCUUGAAUUCCAUUUAAUUUGCAGUGUGCCUAACAUAUUACCUGAUAUUUUACCAUUAGCGGGUUUCUCUCUUGGCUAAAGAUUUUCUUGAUUGCUCAUAAGGGAGGUCUAUUUCAUGUACAUUAGGACUGUAGAGAAAGGAACAGCUACAUCUGCCUAGAGAAAUCCAUACAGAAGAGGGAAAUGCUUGUGCUGAGGCUUGAAAGAGGAGGAAACACUGGCUCCAUGAAGCCUUCAUCGACCCUCAAGGAUUGCUCCUUCCUGUCCUUUAUUUCCAUUGAUAAGAAAAAGCUGUCUGUAACUGAUUUCCAGGCCGAAGUACAAGAACAGCUUCCCACUGUCGCUAGUCUCUGGGUGCCUCAACAUCCCUUGUUUGUUUCUUUAACCUGCUUGUAACCUUGCAAGCAGGAAAUGUGUACAUUCUAUAGUCCAUUCAUCCAAGUUGACAAGAAGAAACCUCAGGCAUGAAGACAGAACAAGCAUUUCUCAACAAUACAAAGUGAUAAAGCGUCAAAAUGAGCUUCA
ensembl:lncRNA LINC02836 long intergenic non-protein coding RNA 2836